GAUAUCGGGAGGAACACCAGUGGCGAAGGCGCCUCUCUGGCCCGUUCCUGACGCUCAGGCGCGAAAGCAGGGGGAGCAAACAGGAUUAGAUACCCUGGUAGUCCCUGCCGUAAACGGUGAACACUAGGUGUGGGGGGCAUCGACCCCUUCCGUGCCGCAGCUAACGCAUUAAGUGUUCCGCCUGGGGAGUACGACCGCAAGGUUGAAACUCAAAGGAAUUGACGGGGGCCCGCACAAGCGGUGGAGCAUGUGGUUUAAUUCGAUGCAACGCGAAGAACCUUACCCAGACUUGACAUGUACCGGACAGGUGUGGAAACACACUCUCCCUUCGGGGUCGGUACACAGGUGCUGCAUGGCUGUCGUCAGCUCGUGUCGUGAGAUGUUGGGUUAAGUCCCGCAACGAGCGCAACCCUUGUCCUUAGUUGCCAGCAUUUCGGAUGGGCACUCUAAGGAGACUGCCGCCGAUAAGGCGGAGGAAGGUGGGGAUGACGUCAAGUCCUCAUGGUCCUUAUGUCUGGGGCUACACACGUGCUACAAUGGCCGGUACAGAGGGUUGCGAUGCCGCGAGGUGGAGCUAAUCCCAGAAAGCCGGUCUCAGUUCGGAUUGUAGUCUGCAACUCGACUGCAUGAAGCUGGAAUCGCUAGUAAUCGCUGAUCAGCAGCCAGCGGUGAAUGUGUUCCCGGGCCUUGUACACACCGCCCGUCAAGCCACGAAAGUUGGCAGUACCCGAAGUCGCUGACCCAACCGCAAGGAGGGAGCGCCG
rnacentral:rRNA from 1 species